rnacentral:rRNA from 1 species
GACGAACGCUGGCGGCGUGCUUAACACAUGCCAGUCGAACGGAAAGGCCCUGCUUUUGUGGGGUGCUCGAGUGGCGAACGGGUGAGUAACACGUGAGUAACCUGCCCUUGACUUUGGGAUAACUUCAGGAAACUGGGGCUAAUACCGGAUAGGAGCUCCUGCUGCAUGGUGGGGGUUGGAAAGUUUCGGCGGUUGGGGAUGGACUCGCGGCUUAUCAGCUUGUUGGUGGGGUAGUGGCUUACCAAGGCUUUGACAGGUAGCCGGCCUGAGAGGGUGACCGGCCACAUUGGGACUGAGAUACGGCCCAGACUCCUACGGGAGGCAGCAGUGGGGAAUAUUGCACAAUGGGCGGAAGCCUGAUGCAGCAACGCCGCGUGCGGGAUGACGGCCUUCGGGUUGUAAACCGCUUUCGCCUGUGACGAAGCGUGAGUGACGGUAAUGGGUAAAGAAGCACCGGCUAACUACGUG